UACGAAGGGGGCUAGCGUUGCUCGGAAUCACUGGGCGUAAAGCGCACGUAGGCGGCUUUUUAAGUCAGGGGUGAAAUCCUGGAGCUCAACUCCAGAACUGCCUUUGAUACUGAGAGCUUGAGUCCGGGAGAGGUGAGUGGAACUGCGAGUGUAGAGGUGAAAUUCGUAGAUAUUCGCAAGAACACCAGUGGCGAAGGCGGCUCACUGGCCCGGUACUGACGCUGAGGUGCGAAAGCGUGGGGAGCCAAACAGGG
rnacentral:rRNA from 1 species